rnacentral:lncRNA from 1 species
AUAAAAUAUAAGUUGCUAUUUUUUGUUGCGGUGGCAAAAAAAAUAAAAAAAUGAAGCAAUAGCCUGGAGAAAGAUUACCUAAAAAGACAGACAGUGUCCAGUCUAUUCUCCUAUAUUUUACACUCCAGGAAUUGAAGGCAAAAAAAAAUAACCUGAAGUCAACAUUGGCAUCCUAUCUUUCAGAAACACAUUGACAUAGAGAAGCACCCAAACAAUGUAUUUUUUUUUUUUGUUUUUUUUUUUUUGUUACCUUCCUAAAUGUUUUUUGAAGUUGGUGGAAAGUGCUCUUUUUUUCUCACUGAGAGCUCAGAUUGUGUAUUUCUUUUUUUUUUUUUUUUUUUUUUUUUUUUUUAUAUAUACGGGGUGUUGACACUUUUUCACAACUGCAGAGAGCAUUUGUGAAAGGAGUGUUUAUGAUGACACCUCUCUUUCCUUCUCUCUCUUUCAGACAUUCAGCCUUACACUUCAUCUUGUAACCUUUAUAAUAGUACAAAUAUGUUGUCCGCAGAUUAAACAAACCAAUCAUGUCCUGCCUAUUCAUAUAGCUAUUGUAUCCCACAGUGACAAACAUGAAAUAUAAAUGUUUAUGAGUGCUCAAAAAAGUUCAUCAAGCAUUUAAUUUCUAUGUUCAAACAUACAAACAAUAGUCUUCUCUUGUUAUUAGUAGCAGAUAGAUGGAUAUUGCAAUUAAACCCAUGUAAAUUGUUUUAUUUGCUUGCCCUGGGUUUAACUGGUAAAAUAAGGAAGUUGUGUCUAUAGCCUGUAUAUGUGUGUGUUUGAGUGGACUGUAGGUGCCACCUGGGUACUAAUGAGUGAGUAAUUAGGCUCUGGCACAUGCACAAACAGCCACACCUCGCUCCUUAGGACCCCAGCCACCAUAUGCUGCACCAGUUGGGAGCUAAACUUGCCAAGACCAAGAAGAGAAGAAAGAGAAAAUUCUCCUUCCCAUCUCUUCUUACAUAGUUUUCCUGCCAGAGCUGUACAGGGGUUGAAGUGGAUGAUGAAGAGGCUGAGCAGGGGGUCUGGCAGCGCUGCAUCCCACACAGACGCCUCUCUUGUGGGCAUGCCGAGAGAGACAUGCCCCCCCGGUUGGAAGGUUGCUGGCAGUCUAGAACCGGAACUGCAGAGGGAAAAGGCUGAUUAAUUAAUCUACCUUACCACCUUCUAUGUACCUGUCUGUUUUCUCACCUCAUCCAUUUCUCCAAUUUUUUCACUCUUUCUUUACUCUAAAUGUGUUUCUUAAGGGGAUAGUUCACCACAAAAUUUAAAUUCAGUCGUAACUCAUUUCAAAGGCUAUAUGGCUUAAUUUCAUCUAAAAAAAAAAAAAAACCUUAUGAAGAAUGUACUGGUCUUUAUUUUCAUACAAUCUUUAGUGAAUGGUGACUGGAGCUUUAUAAGCUUCUUAAAGGAGUACAUAUGAGUUUCAAUGCUUUAUUACUAGCUAUAAAAUAGCUUUGUGUGAGAAACAGAAAAGACAAAUUUUAAUGAUAUUCUCUGAAAAAAACAACAACCACUCUAGCUUGUAUUAUCCAGUUUAGUUCCUGUUUGCCCUUAUUUGGUUUAGUUCCUGUUCUCGUUAUUAGUUAAUCAUCGUUUAUUCUGUUCACUUGUUAUGUUUCAUUAUCCCUUUUGUCUCCUCUCCAUUUAAGCCCUGGCCUGAGUUCUCCUGAGUUUCUUUGUCUCGGACUGAUGCUGUUUUCACUGGAACAUGUGUGUUGUCGCUGAAUUCUCCAGCCCUUUGUUUUGGAAGUUAUAAUUAAAAUACUAUUCAUGUUUAUGCCCUCAUCGUGUUAUUUACUA